AGUGAACGCUGGCGGCAGGCCUAACACAUGCAAGUCGAACGGCAGCACAGGAGAGCUUGCUCUCUGGGUGGCGAGUGGCGGACGGGUGAGGAAUACAUCGGAAUCUACCUUGUCGUGGGGGAUAACGUAGGGAAACUUACGCUAAUACCGCAUACGACCUACGGGUGAAAGCAGGGGACCUUCGGGCCUUGCGCGAUUGGAUGAGCCGAUGUCGGAUUAGCUAGUUGGCGGGGUAAAGGCCCACCAAGGCGACGAUCCGUAGCUGGUCUGAGAGGAUGAUCAGCCACACUGGAACUGAGACACGGUCCAGACUCCUACGGGAGGCAGCAGUGGGGAAUAUUGGACAAUGGGCGCAAGCCUGAUCCAGCCAUGCCGCGUGGGUGAAGAAGGCCUUCGGGUUGUAAAGCCCUUUUGUUGGGAAAGAAAAGCAGUCGGCUAAUACCCGAUUGUUCUGACGGUACCCAAAGAAUAAGCACCGGCUAACUUCGUGCCAGCCGCCGCGGUAACAC
rnacentral:rRNA from 1 species